rnacentral:rRNA from 1 species
CGGGAUGUUCAUAACCCUUUGUUGUCCGACUCUGUUGCCUCCGGGGCGACCCUGCCUUCGGGCGGGGGCUCCGGGUGGACACUUCAAACUCUUGCGUAACUUUGCAGUCUGAGUAAACUUACCCCCCCAAUUAAAACUUUUAACAACGGAUCUCUUGGUUCUGGCAUCGAUGAAGAACGCAGCGAAAUGCGAUAAGUAAUGUGAAUUGCAGAAUUCAGUGAAUCAUCGAAUCUUUGAACGCACAUUGCGCCCCCUGGUAUUCCGGGGGGCAUGCCUGUUCGAGCGUCAUUUCACCACUCAAGCCUCGCUUGGUAUUGGGCAACGCGGUCCGCCGCGUGCCUCAAAUCGACCGGCUGGGUCUUCUGUCCCCUAAGCGUUGUGGAAACUAUUCGCUAAAGGGUGCUCGGGAGGCUACGCCGUAAAACAAACCCAUUUCUAAGGUUGACCUCGGAUCAGGUAGGGAUACCCGCUGAACUUAAGCAUAUCAAUAAGCGGAGGAA